rnacentral:misc_RNA from 1 species
AAGUCGUAACAAGGUUUCCGUAGGUGAACCUGCGGAAGGAUCAUUAUCGAGUUUUGAAGCGGGGGGUUGUAGCUGGCCAAAAAAAUAAAGGCAUGUGCACACCUCAGCUCUCAUCCACUCUCAAACCCCUGUGCACUUAUCGUAGGCUUGGUGGGAUGGGCUGACCUUCGCAGGUCGGCUUUGAAAGCCUCGUCUAUGUCUUAUUACAAACGCUUCAGUUCAGAAUGUAAUCAAGUUGCUUUAAUGCAAAUUAAAUACAACUUUCAGCAACGGAUCUCUUGGCUCUC